AGGCAGACAGACAGUGUUGAGCUGUGGGUCUAUGAGUGUUCAUUAACCAGAUGGUGUGUUUGUUCCAGUUUACCCCUCUCUUGAGUCCGAAGAGGAUAACCCUGUCUUCAAAUCCAGAUCCAAGAAGAGGAAAGGUUCAGACACUCCAUACAGCCCCACAGCGCGUGUCGGUCCCUCUGUGCUUCGUCAGGCGAGGCCGGCCAGAGAAGGAGCGCGAGUGGCUUCCAUCGAGACCGGACUAGCGGCUGCCGCAGCCAAACUCUCACACCAGAAGGAGCAGCAGAAGACCAAGAAAAAGCAGAAGAGCACAAAAAAGAAGCCCCCUGCUGCCGUGAGGGAGGAGGAGGAGGAAGAUGAGGAGCCAGUGAGGAAGCUGAGCAGGGACAGCAGUUCUCCAGAACCUGACGCGGGCCGGGACUCCGAGCCAGGUCAAACCGACCAUGAAUACUCCUCUGGGGCAGGAGGGAAGCAGGCUGUGGGGCCCCAACCGCUGGCACCUGGAGUCUUCCUUACGCAGAGACGACCCUCAACGUUUUCAUCAUCUCACAACAAUAACAACAACAACACGGCCAAGGGGGAGCGAGGAGCCGGAGGAGGAGGAGGAGGAGGAGGAGCGGGAGGAGCAGGAGGAGCGGGAAAAGGUGACGCAAAGGGCGAA